CAGCAGCCGCGGGAAAACAGAGGGUGCAAGCGUUAAUCGGAAUUACUGGGCGUAAAGCGCGCGUAGGUGGUUUGUUAAGUUGGAUGUGAAAGCCCCGGGCUCAACCUGGGAACUGCAUCCAAAACUGGCAAGCUAGAGUACGGUAGAGGGUGGUGGAAUUUCCUGUGUAGCGGUGAAAUGCGUAGAUAUAGGAAGGAACACCAGUGGCGAAGGCGACCACCUGGACUGAUACUGACACUGAGGUGCGAAAGCGUGGGGAGCAAACAGGAUUAGAUACCCGAGUAGUCCCUGUCUCUUAUAC
rnacentral:rRNA from 1 species